GGUGACUAGUGAUAGAGUGAGGGAGGGGUGACUAGUGAGGGAGGGUGUGACUAGUGACAGAAUGAGGGAGAGGGUGACUAGUGACAGAGGGAGGGAGAGGGUGACUAGUGACAGAGGGAGGGAGAGGGUGACUCCCUCACUAGACAGAGUGAGGGAGGUGGUGACUGUCACUAGUCACCACAUCCCUCCCUCUGUCACUAGCCACUCCCUCCCUAACUCUGUCACCAGUCAUCCCCUCACUCUGUCACUAGUCACUCCGUCCCUCCCUCUGUCACCCCCUCCCUCCCUCUGUCACUGGUCAUCCCCUCCCUCACUCUGUCACUAGUCACCCACUCACUCUAGUGA